UCGAACGAUGAAGCCAGCUUGCUGGUGGAUUAGUGGCGAACGGGUGAGUAACACGUGAGUAACCUGCCCUUGACUCUGGGAUAAGCCUGGGAAACCGGGUCUAAUACUGGAUACGACCUUCCCACGCAUGUGGUGUUGGUGGAAAGCUUUUGUGGUUUUGGAUGGACUCGCGGCCUAUCAGCUUGUUGGUGGGGUAAUGGCCUACCAAGGCGACGACGGGUAGCCGGCCUGAGAGGGUGACCGGCCACACUGGGACUGAGACACGGCCCAGACUCCUACGGGAGGCAGCAGUGGGGAAUAUUGCACAAUGGGCGCAAGCCUGAUGCAGCGACGCCGCGUGAGGGAUGAAGGCCUUCGGGUUGUAAACCUCUUUCAGUAGGGAAGAAGCUGAUCCUUUGGGUUGGUGACGGUACCUGCAGAAGAAGCGCCGGCUAACUACGUGCCAGCAGC
rnacentral:rRNA from 1 species